CGGAGGAGGACGCAUGGAGCCUGCAUGCGCUCUCACCAAGAUUACUUAUAUGAGAAAUUACUUGUUGAAUUCCCCGUUUAUUCAACAGGUAGGUGGCUAAUAACAUUUGCUAGUUGGCUUUAUUCAAGAAUAAUGCAAAUCGGUGUUUUAGAUAGCUAGUGUUUGAAGUUCGUUUUUUAAACUUAUUUUUAUACGCUGGCUAAGAGCCCUGUUAGCUAGCUAGCUAGAACUUCAAUGCAAUGUUACCGGCGUAGAGAAUCAGGUUUUUCCAGCCCUAAAAGUUGAUUCGAAAUAACUGUUUUAUGUUAAGCAUACACUUGUAUUUCUGAUGGUUUGUAGCGGCUAGCUAAGCAAACAGUUUACAUGUUUCUGCCUGGCUCACGGUGCUCGAGGGCCACGAACCCAUGGCGUACCACUAACCACGUGCGCAUUGACCGACUGGUAAUGUAUGAAUAUUGUCUGUCGAAGGGGUGUAAACUCGUUAUUGUACUUUUAUUAAGAAUCAUCAUCUAGUACUCAUAGCUAGGUAUUUAACCACUGAUCUUCCCACGUUUAUGCUUAAAAUUGGUGCAGACGGCUAACGUUAAUGUCGGUGCAUGUGGGCUGGUGGUAGUCAAAUAAUUAUUUAUGGCUAAUUUACCGAAGUUAACGUUUUACAGUUUUGGAUCCUAUUCGGUCAUGUGAAUAGACUGGCACCGUAACGUCACAUGGUCAAAGAAAGUAAUGACUCGACAAACGAUGUAGGCUAUUUGGGCUUAAACGUCCACACAGUAUUGUAAUAAGUCAUACUGGCAGCUGCUUGGCCCAGAUCGGAUGAUAAAUGGUCCCUUUGGCAUUUCGGCACCAAUAGUUUAGUAACGUUACUGUCCACAGACUCUGACCAGGGCUAACGGGUUAGAAGGCCGCGGUGGUCUGGGAAUUGUCUUCGCAAUGACUUGAUUGGGGAAUAGCGACUAUGGCUCUCUCCAAAGGAGUAAAGGUCUUGGUAAAAGUCGUGACCCUGCUGUUGAACCUUCCUAGCAGAGGCUGUAGUGUGCUUGCACUGGGCUGGGUUCCCAAGCUGUUACAUGUGCCCCCUGACCCGAAGUUCAUCACUCAUUGAGGUCUGAGUGCAUUGACAAUUCCUUCAGUACAGCUUAUCCAUGCAAUAUGAAAAUCAAUAGCUCCACCGUCCUAAAGGGCAAUUACUUAGGAGUACUAUUUUUGGAUGACUUUUUGAUGGUGCAGAAGGUCACCUAUGUUGCACUUAAUGAUAAUAAUAUAAUAUGCCAUUUAGCAGAUGCUUUUAUCCAUAUAUUACGUAUGGGUGGUCCCGGGGAUCGAACCCACUACUCUGGCGUUACAAGCGCCAUGCUCUACCAAUUGAGCUACAGAGGACCACAAUCCAAUGUGGUCAUGUUUUGUUGCUCUGACCAGAUUGGGGUGCUGCUGAGACCAUGACUAUCUGAAUCUCAGAACUAACUGAACCUUGAAUUAGGCAAACCCAACAGCUGUGUAAGCUGAUUUAUGAUGAAUUCUGUGUAAAUGUGUUUUUUUUCUCUCUCUUGUAGUUGGAUGGUGAUUAACGGUUCCAGACAUGCAGACAGCCUUAUUUGUUGCACUCAGGUUCUGUGUCUUUCAGGGAUAGAUGGUGCUGGAUGCAUAGCUGUUGUACCGAGAUUGGAUUGAUGGUCCAAUACGUGAAGUAUGAAGAUCUACAUCUCGACCCUUUGAUUUGAUGGGCUGGCAGGGUACUGAAGACUCUGUAGGAGGACCAUUUAGUCUUCGGUGAGUUAGGCCUACAUCAGGGAUUUGGCUAGCAUGUGGACUGAAGAAGUAAAUAUUGCCCUUUGAUUGGAUUGAUGGUCCAAUACGUGGAGUAUGAAGAUCUACAUCUCGACCCUUUGGUUUGUGGGCCCUGCAGUAGUCUUAUGGUGAGUUCCUUCCUGGUUUGUGAGGUGUCAACUUAGAACUGUUCAGUCAUUUUACUGGAAUUGUGAUGCCUUUCCUGACACAUUUCUGCUGAUUUACCUUGCUGAAAAGCCAUUAAUCUGAAUUACCAGCACUAUAAAUAAACUAUAGUAGAAUGUUAGUAAUUUUAGGUUGCCAGCUAAUAUCUCAUUAGUCUUAAUCAUUACAGUUGACGAUCAAUUAAGAAACUGGUCAUUUACUGUUGGUGCAUUUGACUGAUUUCUUCUAUUAAUUGACCAAUCCCCAAGGUUUGGAAGGCAGCUCAUGUACUCCUUCAUAAAGGUGACCUGUGAGACCUAAAUAACCUUUGCCCUUUUUCAAAACUUUCUUGCCUGGCAAAAAACAAGUCUCAAUGGGACCCUGUGUAAAUAAAUUCACUUUUAAAAAUGAUUUUUAUUCUGCCCAUGAUAUGUUAUUAAAUAAACUAUUUUAUAGUACA